rnacentral:misc_RNA from 1 species
GAUGAAGAACGUAGCGAAAUGCGAUAAGUAAUGUGAAUUGCAGAAUUCAGUGAAUCAUCGAAUCUUAGAACGCACAUUGCGCCCGCCAGUAUUCUGGCGGGCAUGCCUGUUCGAGCGUCAUUUCAACCAUCAAGCCCCAGGCUUGUGUUGGGGACCUGCGGCUGCCGCAGGCCCUGAAAACCAGUGGCGGGCUCGCUGUCACACCGGGCGUAGUAGAUUUUAUCUCGCUCUGGGCGUGCUGCGGGUUCCGGCCGUUAAAAAACCCUUUUAACCCAAGGUUGACCUCGGAUCAGGUAGGAAUACCCGCUGAACUUAAGCAUAUCAAUAAGCGGAGGA